rnacentral:ncRNA from 1 species
GUUUGGUCCUAGCCUUACCCUCAACUAUUACUUGACUUACACAUGCAAGUAUCCGCGCACCCGUGAAAACGCCCUCACCCCUCCAACAGGACGAGGAGCCGGUAUCAGGCACACACAUUUUGCCCAUAACACCUAGCCACGCCACACCCCCAAGGGUAUUCAGCAGUGAUAAACAUUGUCAAUUAGCGCCAGCUUGACUCAGUUAAAGUAAGUAGGGCCGGCUAAUUCGGUGCCAGCCGCCGCGGCUACCCCGCUUGGCUCAAGUUGAUGACUCCGGCGUUAAGCGUGAUUAAAGUUAGCCCCACACUAGAAUUGAACUCUAACCAAGUUGUGAAACACUUGCUACAGGGAAAUCCUCAGACGAAAGUUAUUCUAGCCCCUUGAACCCACGACAGUUGAGACACAAACUGGGAUCAGGUACCCCACUAUGCCCAACCGUAAAUUUAUUCACCACCACCCCCGCCAGGGAAUUACGAGCCCAAUCUUAAAACCCAAAGGACUUGACGGUGUCCCAUCCACCUAGAGGAGCCUGUUCUAUAAUCGACACCCCCCGAUAUACCCCACCACUUCUAGCAUACUCAGUCUGUAUACCUCCGUCGUAAGCUUACCAUGUGAACGCAAGUGAGCCCAAAGAUUCCAUAUCAACACGUCAGGUCAAGGUGCAACUAACGAAGCGGAAAGCAAUGGGCUACAAUUUCUACCAAUAGAACACACGAAAAACUGCAUGCAACACAGUCACGAAGGCGGAUUUAGUAGUAAAAAGAAAAUAGAGAGUUCUUUUUAACUAGGCACUGGGACGCGUACACACCGCCCGUCACCCUCCUCAAGUAUCCACACACUAGAGGAGGCAAGUCGUAACACGGUAAGCGUACUGGAAAGUGCUCUUGGAUCAACAAAAUGUAGCUUAUUAAAGCAUCCCGCUUACACCGAGAUAGAUGUCUGUGAACAGACCAUUUUGAGCCUAAAUACUAGCCCCACCAAUUACCAACCCCCCCAGUGCAAAUAAAACAUUUUCACCAUCAAGUAACGGCGAUUAAAAAAUGACUAAGAGCUAUAAAGAUAGUACCGCAAGGGAAACAUGAAAUAAAAAUGAAAAUCUAAAGCGCAAUAUAGCAAAGCUCAAACCUUGUACCUUUUGCAUCAUGGUCUAGCUAGUUCAACCAAGCAAAACGUACUUAAAGUUUGGCCCCCCGAAACUAAGCGAGCUACUUUAAAACAGCCCCCGGGCUAACCCGUCUCUGUAGCAAAAGAGUGGGAAGAUUUCAAAGUAGAGGUGACAGACCUAUCGAGCUUAGAGAUAGCUGGUUAUUCAGGAAAAGGAUUUUAGUCCGCCUUUAAGUUUUAUCACUACUACUAAAUACCAAAUAAACUUAAAAGCCAUUCAAAUAAGGUACAGCCUAUUUGAAUAAGGAAACAGCCUGCAAUACAGGGUAAUGAUUUUUUACACGUGACUAAGUCGGCCUAAAAGCAGCCAACUUCUAAAUAGCGUCCAAGCCUCAUCACACCUAUCAUUAAUUUCCCCAUUUAUACGCAACCCUCAAUCACUACUGAAUGACUCCAUACCUUAUGGAGGACACCAUGCUAGAACUAGUAACAAGAAGAUGACCCUUCUCCAAAAUGCAAACGUAAGCCAAAAUGAACACUCACCGGCACUUACCGCCACCUAAGCCCACAGUAUUAACUAACAAGAAAACUUUACCGCAUCAGGCGUUAACCUUACACCAGGGCAUUUCCGUGAAAGAUUAAAAAGGGGGGAAGGAACUCGGCAAAUAUUAGCCCCGCCUGUUUACCAAAAACAUCGCCUCUUGGCAAAAAUAUAAGAGGUCCAGCCUGCCCAGUGACAGAAGUUAAACGGCCGCGGUAUCCUAACCGUGCAAAGGUAGCACAAUCACUUGUUCUUUAAAUUAGGACCAGUAUGAAUGGCCACACGAGGGCUAUACUGUCUCCCCCCCUUAAUCAGUGAAACUGAUCUCCCCGUGAAGAAGCGGGGAUACAACUAUAAGACGAGAAGACCCCAUGGAGCUUAAAACUUGUACCACUGCCUCACUCAUACCAAUGCACCAAGGCAAGCAAUGACUACUAGUCUUUCGGCUGGGGCGGCCACGGAGAAAAACUAAACCUCCGCGAUGAAGGGGACACCCCUAAUCAAAGAGCAACCGCUCUAAUAAUCAACAAAUUGACAUUAUUGACC